rnacentral:rRNA from 1 species
UACGUAGGCAGCGAGCGUUGUUCGGAGUUACUGGGCGUAAAGAGUGCGUAGGCGGUUUUCUAAGUUUGGUGUGAAAUCUCCCGGCUUAACUGGGAGGGUGCGCCGAAGACUGGAAGCUUGAGUAUGGGAGAGGUAAGCGGAAUUCCUGGUGUAGCGGUGAAAUGCGUAGAUAUACAGGAGGAACACCUGCGGUGUAGACGGCUUACUGGACCAUCACUGACGCUGAGGCACGAAAGCGUGGGUAGCAAACAGG